CGGCAUGGCGGCAGCUACACAUGCAGUCGAACGGUAGCACAGAGGAGCUUGCUCCUUGGGUGACGAGUGGCGGACGGGUGAGUAAUGUCUGGGAAACUGCCCGAUGGAGGGGGAUAACUACUGGAAACGGUAGCUAAUACCGCAUAACGUCGCAAGACCAAAGAGGGGGACCUUCGGGCCUCUUGCCAUCGGAUGUGCCCAGAUGGGAUUAGCUAGUAGGUGGGGUAACGGCUCACCUAGGCGACGAUCCCUAGCUGGUCUGAGAGGAUGACCAGCCACACUGGAACUGAGACACGGUCCAGACUCCUACGGGAGGCAGCAGUGGGGAAUAUUGCACAAUGGGCGCAAGCCUGAUGCAGCCAUGCCGCGUGUAUGAAGAAGGCCUUCGGGUUGUAAAGUACUUUCAGCGAGGAGGAAGGCGUUGUGGUUAAUAACCGCAGCGAUUGACGUUACUCGCAGAAGAAGCACCGGCUAACUCCGUGCCAGCAGCCGCGGUAAUACGGAGGGUGCAAGCGUUAAUCGGAAUUACUGGGCGUAAAGCGCACGCAGGCGGUCUGUCAAGUCGGAUGUGAAAUCCCCGGGCUCAACCUGGGAACUGCAUCCGAAACUGGCAGGCUAGAGUCUUGUAGAGGGGGGUAGAAUUCCAGGUGUAGCGGUGAAAUGCGUAGAGAUCUGGAGGAAUACCGGUGGCGAAGGCGGCCCCCUGGACAAAGACUGACGCUCAGUGCGAAAGCGUGGGGAGCAAACAGGGAUUAGAUACCCUGGUAGUCCACGCCGUAAACGAUGUCGACUUGGAGGUUGUGCCCUUGAGGCGUGGCUUCCGGAGCUAACGCGUUAAGUCGACCGCCUGGGGGAGUACGGCCGCAAGGUUAAAACUCAUAUGAAUUGACGGGGGCCCGCACAAGCCGGUGGAGCAUGUGGUUUAAAUUCGAUGCAACCGCGAAGAACCUUACCUACUCUUGACAUCCAGAGAACUUAGCAGAGAUGCUUUGGUGCCUUC
rnacentral:rRNA from 1 species